AACAGGGGAGCUUACAGAUAGGCUGAGAGGAAGCUGUGCGCUUCGACCCUAAACCUGAUUUGGAUAAUGCCAACGUAGGGAAUGU
rnacentral:ncRNA from 1 species